GGGAAUCGGGGGAGAGGGAUCUGCCCGGAGACUGGUGACAUCACAGGGCUGAGAAUCUGAUUGGUGGAAUACUCAGCCAAUAGGAGGAAGCAGUGGACAGGA